rnacentral:rRNA from 1 species
GAUGAACGCUGGCGGCGUGCCUAAUACAUGCAAGUCGAGCGAACAGACGAGGAGCUUACUCCUCUGACGUUAGCGGCGGACGGGUGAGUAACACGUGGAUAACCUACCUAUAAGACUGGGAUAACUUCGGGAAACCGGAGCUAAUACCGGAUAACAUGUUGAACCGCAUGGUUCAACAGUGAAAGACGGUCUUGCUGUCACUUAUAGAUGGAUCCGCGUCGCAUUAGCUAGUUGGUAAGGUAACGGCUUACCAAGGCAACGAUGCGUAGCCGACCUGAGAGGGUGAUCGGCCACACUGGAACUGAGACACGGUCCAGACUCCUACGGGAGGCAGCAGUAGGGAAUCUUCCGCAAUGGGCGAAAGCCUGACGGAGCAACGCCGCGUGAGUGAAGAAGGUCUUCGGGUCGUAAAACUCUGUUAUUAGGGAAGAACAAAUGUGUAAGUAACUAUGCACGUCUUGACGGUACCUAAUCAGAAAGCCACGGCUAACUACGUG